rnacentral:hammerhead_ribozyme from 1 species
AUCCAGCUGACGAGUCCUGACUUGGACGAAAUUUGCAUCCUGGAU